rnacentral:tRNA from 1 species
UAGAUUGAAGUCCGCUGGAUUGGGCGUUCGGUUGUUAACUGGAAGUUUACGGGAUCGAGGCCCGUCGGUCUAG